AGAGUUUGAUCCUGGCUCAGGAUGAACGCUGGCGGCGUGCCUAACACAUGCAAGUCGAACGGAGCUGCUUUGAUGAAGUUUUCGGAUGGAUUUAAAACAGCUUAGUGGCGGACGGGUGAGUAACGCGUGGGUAACCUGCCUCACACUGGGGGAUAACAGUUAGAAAUAGCUGCUAAUACCGCAUAAGCGCACGGUUCCGCAUGGAACAGUGUGAAAAACUCCGGUGGUGUGAGAUGGACCCGCGUCUGAUUAGCCAGUUGGCGGGGUAACGGCCCACCAAAGCGACGAUCAGUAGCCGGCCUGAGAGGGUGAACGGCCACAUUGGGACUGAGACACGGCCCAAACUCCUACGGGAGGCAGCAGUGGGGAAUAUUGCACAAUGGGGGAAACCCUGAUGCAGCGACGCCGCGUGAGUGAAGAAGUAUUUCGGUAUGUAAAGCUCUAUCAGCAGGGAAGAAAAUGACGGUACCUGACUAAGAAGCCCCGGCUAACUACGUGCCAGCAGCCGCGGUAAUACGUAGGGGGCAAGCGUUAUCCGGAUUUACUGGGUGUAAAGGGAGCGUAGACGGCAAGGCAAGUCUGAAGUGAAAGCCCGGUGCUUAACGCCGGGACUGCUUUGGAAACUGUUUGGCUGGAGUGCCGGAGAGGUAAGCGGAAUUCCUAGUGUAGCGGUGAAAUGCGUAGAUAUUAGGAAGAACACCAGUGGCGAAGGCGGCUUACUGGACGGUAACUGACGUUGAGGCUCGAAAGCGUGGGGAGCAAACAGGAUUAGAUACCCUGGUAGUCCACGCCGUAAACG
rnacentral:rRNA from 1 species